AUUAAUGAAUUCUGAUGAGGCGGGUUGUAGCUGGCUCGUUUCGUUUGAGCGGCAUGUGCACGCCCUGAUCAUUAUCCAUCUCACACACCUGUGCACAUACUGUAGGUCGGCUUUUGAUUGGAGUGGGGUCUUCAUCGACUCUGCUUUUUAGUUGGGGCCUUCCUAUGUUUUAUCACACACUACUUCAGUUUAAAGAAUGUCCUCUUGCGUCUAACGCAUUUAAAUACAACUUUCAGCAACGGAUCUCUUGGCUCUCGCAUCGAUGAAGAACGCAGCGAAAUGCGAUAAGUAAUGUGAAUUGCAGAAUUCAGUGAAUCAUCGAAUCUUUGAACGCACCUUGCGCUCCUUGGUAUUCCGAGGAGCAUGCCUGUUUGAGUGUCAUGGAAUUCUCAACUCUAUUUGCUUUUGUGAAUAGAGCUUGGACUUGGAGGUUUAUUGCCGGUACCUGUGAUCGGCUCCUCUUGAAUGCAUUAGCUCGAACCUUUUGUGGAUCAGCUUAUCGGUGUGAUAAAAUGUCUACGCCGUUACUGUGAAGCAUAUUAUUCGGCUUCCAAUCGUCCUUCACGGGACAAUAACUUUGACCUUUGACCUCAAAUCAGGUAGGA
rnacentral:rRNA from 1 species